UGCUUAACACAUGCAAGUCGAACGGGAAUUACUUUAUUGAAACUUCGGUCGAUUUAAUUUAAUUCUAGUGGCGGACGGGUGAGUAACGCGUGGGUAACCUGCCUUGUACAGGGGGAUAACAGUCAGAAAUGACUGCUAAUACCGCAUAAGCGCACAGGACCGCAUGGUCCGGUGUGAAAAACUCCGGUGGUAUAAGAUGGACCCGCGUUGGAUUAGCUUGUUGGUGGGGUAACGGCCCACCAAGGCGACGAUCCAUAGCCGGCCUGAGAGGGUGAACGGCCACAUUGGGACUGAGACACGGCCCAGACUCCUACGGGAGGCAGCAGUGGGGAAUAUUGCACAAUGGGGGAAACCCUGAUGCAGCGACGCCGCGUGAAGGAAGAAGUAUCUCGGUAUGUAAACUUCUAUCAGCAGGGAAGAAAAUGACGGUACCUGACUAAGAAGCCCCGGCUAACUACGUGCCAGCAGCCGCGGUAAUACGUAGGGGGCAAGCGUUAUCCGGAUUUACUGGGUGUAAAGGGAGCGUAGACGGAUGGACAAGUCUGAUGUGAAAGGCUGGGGCUCAACCCCGGGACUGCAUUGGAAACUGCCCGUCUUGAGUGCCGGAGAGGUAAGCGGAAUUCCUAGUGUAGCGGUGAAAUGCGUAGAUAUUAGGAGGAACACCAGUGGCGAAGGCGGCUUACUGGA
rnacentral:rRNA from 1 species